AUGUAAAAGAGAUAAACCCCAUAACAGAAACAUAAACCCCAAACUCUUCUUCUUCUUCUUCUUCUUCUUCCCUCAAAAUGGUUCUUCUCCAUUGCCAUCAGAGUGUGGCCACACUCACACUCUCACCCAUUUCAUUCUUCUCUUCCAAUUCCAAACCAUUCUCCGUUUCUCUUCGCAACAACAACAACCCUACCUUUUCAACAAGAACCAAUUCCCCUUUCUCACUCUCCACCAUGCCAAGAAAAUUCCUCUGCAACCCUCCCAAGGGUAAAUACGUCAGAGAAGAUUACCUCGUGAAAAAAUUGUCAGCAAUGGAAAUUCAAGAGCUUGUAAAGGGGGAAAGAAAUGUGCCUCUUAUUAUUGAUUUUUAUGCAACAUGGUGUGGACCCUGCAUCUUAAUGGCUCAAGAACUUGAAAUGCUUGCAGUUGAAUACGAGAAGAAUGCGAUGAUUGUGAAGGUUGAUACAGAUGAUGAAUAUGAAUUUGCACGUGACAUGCAGGUCCGAGGGCUCCCGACUGUGUUCUUCAUUAGUCCGGAUCCGAACAAGGAUGCGAUCCGAACCGAAGGCCUGGUCCCGAUACAGAUGAUGAGGGACAUCAUUGACAAUGAAAUGUGAGACAUUAGAUGGUGCUGAUUCGCCAUAAAGAAAGUGGGGUUGCAAUAUCCUGUCUGGUGUAACGUUGCAAGUGACAAGAAUGGUUUUCUAACAUCCUAUGAAAUAAUAAAACGAAAAACAGAAGACAAGGAAACAGGCUUCAGCGAGAAUGAAGCUUACAUUGUCAGAUUUGCUUGCAAGAUACAUGAAAAGUAGCAUCAGGUAGUUGUUUGAGUUGUUUAAAUCUUAUUUUUCGAAUUUGAUCUUUAGAAGCAACAAGUUUUAUGACCAUUCUCUCUUCAUUGAAGUGAACUCUGAUAACAUUAGAGAUUAGUUCUUGA